UACAGAGAGAGAGGGGGAGUAGAGGCAGAAGACGAGUGCAGCACAAAGAGAGAGGGGGAGUAGAGGCAGAAGACGAGUGCAGCACAAAGAAUUAGAAAGUGAACAAAGACGUUUAAAGAGAGGAAAACUGCUGUGAAGACAGACAGACUGACAACCCAGAGAAAUACAGACACAGAGACGUCAAAGAACAAAAUACAAUAUUUUAGUCCAACUGGAAAACUGGAGCAAGUGAAUUAUUAGGCGAAGAGCCAGAACAGCGGAGAGGAGACCACACGAACGAGAGGAGUAAGAAGACGGGCAGGGUGAGAGAGAGAGAGAGAGAAAAGACAAUCCAUCCAAGAGCUUUAGGGAAACCAUUUGUUGUUGCUUUGACUCUGUUUGCCCGAGUUUUUAAUGAGAAACUUUGGGAGAAGUAGAUCCAAUCUGUACUGAAGUUGGAGACUUGUCAAACUCCACAUCGAAACUCAUUCACUCCAAAGUUUGACCGACAUUACCCUCUGUGUGUGAGACCUGACCAGGCCAAGGGGAAAUCCAAGAUGGAGGUGAGGGAGGAGGUGUUGCACAUCCUGAAUAAGGUGUGGACUAAACUGCAGAACCUCCCUCAGGCCAACUCACUGGAGCUGGGGGCGUUCUUCAUCAUCAUCCUGUUCGUCGUUACAUUCUUGUUUAUUAUUGUGCUGUCCUGCGUUCGCUGCUGUUGCUGUGGAAAGCUUAAAUCCCGAGUCCAGCCCUUACAGUCAGUCUGAGGAGGAGACAUUGGCCCAGUCACAAUAUAUGGAACAUUUAAGGAAGGGAGGAAACAGCAAUCCCAGGGAAGAACUAGUCUUAGAAUCGCCUGGACAAUCUAGCUUGGAGGGGACAGACAGACUGCUCUGCAACCAGCCUGAGGAAUCUGUGUGUGUAUAAAGACUGAUGAGCAAUGGCCGACUCAUUAACACUACGUAGCAGUAGCUUUAAACAGACAAUGACACUCUAUAAACAGAGAACUGUGAACAUUGCUUCUGUGCUGUUGUUUUGUCUGAGGACACAAACCACUCCGAGGGUUGAAAGACCCACCCAAGUUUUAUCCUGCUUUCUCAUGUGAUUUGACCUGGAAGAGCCGAUAGGUUUUAUGUUGUGUGUUUUGUAGGUCUAUAGAAGGAAACAUUUUUUUAAAAACUCCCUCAGAUUUCAAUCUUGUUGUGUUUAACAAAGUUGUUUUAAUGUCCAGAAUGUAAAACCCAUCUCUGUUCUCCUUCAAGAUGACUCUAUAGAAAACGUGCUGAAGUUCCGAACUUGUUUUUGUGUGGCUGUUUUCCAGUGGAAAAGCAGGGACGGUCAUAUAGAGAGUGCCCUCUGCUGGUGCACACUAGUCACACCCCGACCUAACCAAACUAGAGAAUUAAAGGCUCUCUACGUUCAGGGCGUGACAUAUCUGUUGCCUUACAGAUGGCAAAUCGUGAUUAUCAUUAGUUAUACUGUUACUGUACCAUCACCAAUUCAUUGUACAUCAAUCAUUUGGAGUGAAACAACCUGUUUUGGGAUUAUAUUCAUCUGUAGUUGUCAUUUGAGGAGCAACAAGUUAAGCUUUACUUAAUGUUUAAGUGCAAAUAAAAUAUAGUACAUUAAAGAAUUACAUUUUUUUUACAUUGUGAUUAUUCUUGUUAUUAAUGCAUUGUGUCAACAGCUAAAACCUUUGGAAUGUAACACUGGCUGGGCUUAUGUCAUAUCUAACUUUCCAUCUAUUAAACGAUAAAGACUCCAUCUUUAUACUGACCCACCCUAUCCCUGAUACUUUCACUUCAGGUGCCAGUAACCGUGCCACUCAGCGGUGUAGUGUAUUGUGCAGUAAGAGCUUACCUUAUCAGACCUUGUAGCACAGUCUCGGGCCUCACCUCCGAUAGAGUCAAUAUUGUCGGUAAACAUUAACCCAGCUGGACUUCUCUCUCUCUCUCUCUCUCUCUCCUACUGCGUCACGUAUUGAAAGCCCUCACAACAAGAGAACUAGUCACGAUCACUGAUUAGGCUUUUGGAAUCAAGUGGAAUCGAGAGAGAAAAAUCCAGUUGGAGUUGAGAGGGAGUAAAUGAGCGUACCUCACAGGAUACCAAAGACUCUCACGCUAAAGAAGGUCUUCUAGAGGCUGAAGUGGAGUGUUUAUUUGGAAUACAGAUGCAGGGUUGGACCAGCUAUUGAGAUACUAACAGAGGCCUAUACAUCCAGAACCCAGGUCUCACAGACCGUAUUUACUGUCGCCAUCGCUGAGAACAUUGAGAGAUGGCUCUGGAAAGUGUUCCAGACCCCCCUGACCCGGCAGGGUCACCAGAGGACUGGGUCCAGUGGGCUGUGCAGCGCCUGCAGAUGGAGCCCUGGGCGUUGGGGGGCAUUGUGGUCAUAGGGCUGUUCCUGCUGAUGAUCCUGGCCCUGGUGGUCUUCGCUCUAAUAUAUGGCUGUUGCUGCUCACCUGGAGGGGGGAAGAGGAGGAUGAAGAAGGGGGUGCUUUAGAGAAGUGGGUCCCACUCUCCAUGACUGUUUUACGGCCAUUGAGAUUUUCUCUACCCCCUACGUCUACGAGGACUUUUCCAAAAGAAAAGACUGUGCAAAAAAACCUUCCAGCCCCAAGCAUUAUUAAUGGAACCAUCAUUUAAACAAACACACUGAGGAAUGUAUGAAUUGGCAAAUAAUUUGAUCCAAGUCAAGAUAAUAACGUUCAUAAAUUGAUUUGCGUAUUUGAUUAUGAAAAUGUGCUGUUUGAUUAUAAUUAAAUGUUGAAACUUUAAACAAAUCUUUUCAAUAAAAAACUAUAUGCAUGCGCAUAUCAUUAGCGAUGCUGAAAGGGACGUCGUCGUGUAUAGCAGAGCCAGAACGAGUCACAAGAUGGCGGGUGUGUCAGAAUGGACUUGGAGAUGGAGUCAUUGAGGAUGGAAAGAAGGAGCGGGCAGGAGGGGAAAAAAGGAGGAAAGUGGAACAUAUUAAGAGUAAAUAUAGAGUUCUGCAGAAGGAAAUUGAACAUGAAUUAACUGCGGUGUCAGGUGCGGUAAAGAACACAGAGUCUGGGGACUGUGACAUGCUUUCCUCUCUGGAGCAGGGCGUCUUUGAAAGGAGUGAUAACUGGUGUGGCGUUAAGUGUUGAUGAGGGUCAACUGAAGUUGAAGAUUCCCGGUGUCUGUGACGCCUGUCAUUUGAUGUGACGCAGACCCAGUGUAGAGCGUGGUGAAACAGAGAAGACAUGGUACUAUUGAUGCAGAGUUUUUACCAGAUAAAGUCAAGUUAGGAUGUGUCUGUUCGAGCUUUUGUCCCAAACCCAUUACGGUGUUUUAGGUGUCAAGCUUAUGGUCUUGUGGCAGCAGUGUAGGAGGGAGAUUCCUAGAUGUGAUAAGUGUGCAGGAGGAUAUGAGACAAAGGAAUGUGUUGUAUCGUUGGAAAAAGUUGUGUGUGUAAACUGUAGGGGUAUCAAUGGUGUUGGAGAUCAGAUGUGUCCGGUGAGAGAAAGGCAGGUUGAAGUUGCCAGGAUCAGAGUAGUGCAGAAGGUGUCUUGUGCUGAGGCAGUGAAGAGAGUAGUUGAGGAAGAUGGGUCCAGGGUGAGGGAUCCUAAGAAGAUCCCUGGGAGUAGAGGGAUAGGAAUAACAUGUGCUUCAGUAAGGUUGGUUUGUUGGCGUUUAUGGCCAUGGUGGUCAAUUAUACCGCUGGAAUGGAACGUAAAAUCACAGAGGAUAGAUGUUGUGGUGGCAGCUGCAGAGAAGUACUUGGGAUUUAUUUAUUUUCUAUUUUAUUUAACCAGGAAAGGCUCAUUGAGAUUUAAAAUCUCUUUUUCAAGAGCAUCCUGACCAAGAUAGGCAGCACCAAGUCAUUACAAAAAUUGCAAGGAUGUACCGCAGAACAGUUGCAUAGGGUGUUGAGUGGUAGUGUUAUGUCCUUCCAGACUGUUGAUCUGUAGUAAGAUUAGACAGGGUUAAAUAUUGGAAUGUGGUGGUGUGGUUUUUGUUAUUAUUUUGUGAGGGCUAAUAGCUGGCAGGGUCAUUUUCCUUUUCCUUUCGUAGGUAGGCUGUGAAUGGCCUCACACUCCAGUACAGUAGGUGACGGUGUAUGUACCUAAACGUUGGAUGCGAUCUGCCAACCAAAUCCUAAAGAAGAAGACGUGACGUCAUUGUUAUGCGACCAGUGGAGAAAUGGCGAGCAGCAAAAAUAGUGUACUUCUGUCUUCUUUGGCGGAGUAUGGCGACGACUCUGAGCCUGAUUCCAACCCAGAAACCGAAUAAACAGAGAGCCAUGGAGUCGGUCUGGUGUCAGCUGCCUAUGGAGAGGACGACAUUAACCGGAUUGAGGAUGGCGACGACAAGGCAUCUGGAGACGAGGACAGCGGGGAGAGCUCCCGUAACUCUGAAAUGGACGAGUCAGACGAGGGGGGAGACACAGAUGAUUAUAAGCUCUGUUCUCAGAGAAAGUGAGGAACAUGUCACCUGACAAGAUCCGGAUCCCCCCUGAACCACCAGGACGCUGCUCCAGUCACCUACAGGUGAAGAUCCAGAAGCUGUAUGAGAAGAAUCUACAUGGAGACUUAGACACAAACAACCACAUUCAGAGGAAGAAAGAGUUCAGGAAUCCCAGGUACACACACACACACACACACAUAUUCCUAGAGUUACGAUCCUAUCGAUGAUACACACGUUGCUCUUCCAGAUACAUUUGUUGACUUGUCUUUGCGUCUAUCCAGUAUCUAUGAGAAACUCAUCCAGUUCUGUGGCAUAGAUGAACUGGGAACCAACUACCCUAAAGACAUGUUUGAUCCUCACGGCUGGCCAGAGGACUCUUACUAUGAGGCACUGGGUAAGGAGGUCGUUGGUGGCUGUGUGUGCUUGCCAGUCAGUCCUAUCAACUGAACAGUUUUCCUUCUCUCCCUGCAGCCAAAGCUCAGAAAGUGGAGAUGGAUAAACUGGAGAAAGCCAAGAAGGACAAGACGAAGGUGAGGACCACAGGCGUUUUAGUUGCCUUGAAGAGGCCACCCGAGAAGCUCAGAAGAGGAAGAGUAAGUGGGACUCUGCGGUGCCCGUG